rnacentral:rRNA from 1 species
CAGUCGUACUUAUGGGUAAUCAGCCUUUUGGGUGUGAUUUUGUGGAGCGUGAGGAGUUAAACGCCCUCAUGCCUGCAUAUUCGUGCACAUUUGGUGUACUUGUCCGUGUGGUGGGUUAACAUCAAUUUCGG